CACGCUCUCUUUGCCUUUUGGCUUUGAUCAAGUGCAGUGGCUGUUCUUUUCAGUUUAAUCUCUGAAACGCCCCUACGGGAGCAUUUUUCUUGAUUAAUCUAGUUUUUGGAACCGGGCCGGCGGCCGCUGAGCUUCGCUUAUGUUGCUGGUCACAGUGUCGCCUCUAUUGCACUGUCUGAGGCUGAUGCGAACUUUU
rnacentral:snRNA from 1 species